UACGUAGGGAGCAAGCGUUGUCCGGAUUUAUUGGGCGUAAAGAGCUCGUAGGCGGCUUAGUAAGUCAGGUGUGAAACCUCCAGGCUCAACCUGGAGACGCCACUUGAUACUGCUAUGGCUUGAGUUCGGUAGGGGACCAUGGAAUUCCUGGUGUAGCGGUGAAAUGCGCAGAUAUCAGGAGGAACACCGAUGGCGAAGGCGGGUCUCUGGGCCGAUACUGACGCUGAGGAGCGAAAGCGUGGGGAGCGAACAGG
rnacentral:rRNA from 1 species